rfam:Gossypium raimondii chromosome 6, whole genome shotgun sequence.
UUAUUUGGCCAAAUUUGCGCAAGAGUAGCUAAGCGUGCUUGGGCGAGACUAGUACUAGGAUUGGUGACCUCCUGGGAAGUCCUCGUGUUGCACCCC